rnacentral:lncRNA from 1 species
AUUGAUCUACUGCACCUCAGACAGCUUUAUCAGUGCGAGAGAGAUUGGGUCACCUUUAUACUUUCUUACUUACCAUCAUCAAUUUGUCUAUUAUUUGACUUCUUCAGCUGUUGCCUUUCUGACCUUCCACAAGUACAAGUAUGGUAUUUGCCAUUAUCUAAUUGGAAAGCAUGUUUCCCUUUCACUCAUAUUUUUUCUCUCAUUCUCAGCAAGAUCCAGAUUCUGCUGCUGCUAUGGAUCAGAAAGGUCACAGGAGGCACCCGUGGGCUUAUUUAUGGGUACACAGCCAGCCUGAGCCUGAGCAAGUGCCCAAUGAAAGAACUUGGCGUUAUACCAGAUACUAAGAAAGAAAAAUCAACUCUGUCUCACCUGAACCAGGACAGUGGGAGAAUACCUGAAGAAGAGAGCUACCUCCAUGCAUCAAGUCAGGAAGACAGAAGUGCUAGACAUCUCCUGGAGAAAGAAAAGCAUUUGGAUAGGCUAAAUCUCCAGUUUGCACAGACAUGUGGCAAAUACAUAGUCCCUUGUGGAAAAUCUAGGCUGGUUCAUUGCCUUCAGAUUGCCAGUGAGGCCUGGCAAUAACACAAGCCAACUGAUGAUGAGAAUUUUGAUUGAGUCAUUCUGUUUGGCUAUAAAAGAUACCUUCAAAGAGAAUACAGUCUUGAAAGACUGCACCAGGUGUCAUCAAUAACAAAGUGAAGAUUUGCCACUGCCAGCUUAAAAUGGUUUACGCUGCAGAGCACUUACUGUUGAUAAUAAAAGGACAAAAUUAAAACA